GACGAACGCUGGCGGCGUGCUUAACACAUGCAAGUCGAACGGUAAGGCCCUUCGGGGUACACGAGUGGCGAACGGGUGAGUAACACGUGGGUGAUCUGCCCUGCACUUCGGGAUAAGCCUGGGAAACUGGGUCUAAUACCGGAUAGGACCAUGCUCUUCACGGGGUGUGGGGGAAAGCUUUUGCGGUGUGGGAUGGGCCCGCGGCCUAUCAGCUUGUUGGUGGGGUAAUGGCCUACCAAGGCGACGACGGGUAGCCGGCCGGAGAGGGUGACCGGCCACACUGGGACUGAGAUACGGCCCAGACUCCUACGGGAGGCAGCAGUGGGGAAUAUUGCACAAUGGGCGCAAGCCUGAUGCAGCGACGCCGCGUGAGGGAUGACGGCCUUCGGGUUGUAAACCUCUUUCAGUAGGGACGAAGCGCAAGUGACGGUACCUACAGAAGAAGGACCGGCCAACUACGUGCCAGCCGCCGCGGUAA
rnacentral:rRNA from 1 species